GCAGCCGCGGUAAUACGUAGGGGGCAAGCGUUAUCCGGAAUUACUGGGUGUAAAGGGUGCGUAGGCGGCACCGUAAGUCAGUUGUGAAACCCCUGAGCUCAACUCAGGGCUUGCAAUUGAAACUGCGGAGCUAGAGUACAGGAGAGGAAAGCGGAAUUCCUAGUGUAGCGGUGAAAUGCGUAGAUAUUAGGAAGAACACCAGUGGCGAAGGCGGCUUUCUGGACUGAAACUGACGCUGAGGCACGAAAGCGUGGGGAGCAAACAGGAUUAGAUACCCC
rnacentral:rRNA from 1 species